rfam:Felis catus isolate Cinnamon breed Abyssinian chromosome F1, whole genome shotgun sequence.
GCCUAGGUGGCUCAGUCGGUUGAGUGUCUGACUUCGGCUCAGGUCAUGAUCUCACAGCACGUGAGUUCGAGCCCCAUGUCAGGCU